rnacentral:rRNA from 1 species
UACGAGAGGCCCAAACGUUAUUCGGAAUUACUGGGCUUAAAGAGUUCGUAGGCGGCGCAGAAAGUAGGGUGUGAAAGCCCUCGGCUUAACCGAGGAAUUGCGCUCUAAACUACUGUGCUUGAGGAACCUAGAGGUGAGCAGAACUGAUGGUGGAGCGGUGAAAUGCGUUGAUAUCAUGAGGAAUACCAGAGGCGAAGGCGGCUACCUGGACAAUUGCUGACGCUCAGGCACGAAAGCGUGGGGAGCAAAAGGG